rnacentral:rRNA from 1 species
GGCUUGCGGCAGCUACCAUGCAGUCGAGCGGUAACACAGGGAGCUUGCUCCCGGGUGACGAGCGGCGGACGGGUGAGUAAUGUCUGGGAAACUGCCUGAUGGAGGGGGAUAACUACUGGAAACGGUAGCUAAUACCGCAUAACGUCGCAAGACCAAAGAGGGGGACCUUCGGGCCUCUUGCCAUCAGAUGUGCCCAGAUGGGAUUAGCUAGUAGGUGGGGUAACGGCUCACCUAGGCGACGAUCCCUAGCUGGUCUGAGAGGAUGACCAGCCACACUGGAACUGAGACACGGUCCAGACUCCUACGGGAGGCAGCAGUGGGGAAUAUUGCACAAUGGGCGCAAGCCUGAUGCAGCCAUGCCGCGUGUAUGAAGAAGGCCUUCGGGUUGUAAAGUACUUUCAGCGGGGAGGAAGGUGUUGAGGUUAAUAACCUCAGCAAUUGACGUUACCCGCAGAAGAAGCACCGGCUAACUCCGUGCAAGGG